rnacentral:rRNA from 1 species
UUGGCUUAGAAGCAGCCAUCAUUUAAAGAAAGCGUAAUAGCUCACUGGUCGAGUCGGCCUGCGCGGAAGAUGUAACGGGGCUAAACCAUGCACCGAAGCUGCGGCAGCGACGCUUAUGCGUUGUUGGGUAGGGGAGCGUUCUGUAAGCCGUUGAAGGUGGCCUGUGAGGGUUGCUGGAGGUAUCAGAAGUGCGAAUGCUGACAUAAGUAACGAUAAUGCGGGUGAAAAAC